rnacentral:rRNA from 1 species
UGCGCAGGCGGCCUGGUAAGUCAGGGGUGAAAUAUGACGGCUCAACCGUCAAACUGCCCCUGAAACUGUCAGGCUUGAGUCCGGGAGAGGUAGGUGGAAUUCCAGGCGUAGCGGUGAAAUGCGUAAAUAUCUGGAGGAACACCGGUGGCGAAGGCGGCCUACUGGCCCGGAACUGACGCUCAGGCACGAAAGCUAGGGGAGCGAACG